rnacentral:rRNA from 1 species
GAUAAACGCUGGCGGCGUGCAUGAGACAUGCAAGUCGAACGAAGGAUCGGGCUUGCUCGAUCCUUAGUGGCGGACGGCUGGGUAACGCGUAGGUGACCUACCCCGAAGUGGGGAAUAACUGCCCGAAAGGGUGGCUAAUACCGCAUGUGGUCGCACGUUCCUUCGUGCGAGUAAAGCCGCAAGGCGCCUCGGGAGGGGCGUGCGUCCGAUUAGCUCGUUGGUGGGGUAAUGGCUUACCAAGGCGACGAUCGGUAGCUGGUCUGAGAGGACGAUGACCCGGCGUGGGAGUGAGACACGGCCCGGACACCUAGGGGAAGGAGCGGUAGGGAAAUUUGCCCAAGGGGGGAAAACCUAAAGCAGCAACGCGGCGUGAGGGAUGAAGGCCUUCGGGUUGUAAACCUAUUUUGUCAGGGACGAUGAUGACGGUAACUGGCGAAUGAGCCACGGCUAACUACGUG